ACAUGUUGUGAUUCAUGACUGGGGUGAAGUCUUAACAAGGUAACAGUAGGGGAACCUGCGGUUGGAUCACCUCCUUACCUUAAAGAA
rnacentral:rRNA from 1 species